rnacentral:lncRNA from 1 species
CGAGAAGAGUAAAGAAAAUCUGGGGAAAGAGACGAAGGAAAACAAAAUUUUCUGCACAAACCUUUGGAACAAGGCUGGAUUUCCGUCACCUUGCAGUGCGCUUUUCUCCAUCGGAGAGAUCUCUUCUGGGGAAUCUCUUGCUUUCUGCAUCUUCUCUGAUCAUUAAAGGACAACUUUGGUGUUGAGUAGCUUCCAUAAAAACGGCCACAAGACCUUCAAAGUUCAGCUCUAAGUCUGCCCGUCACUAGUUUUGAAUCUUCGUCGGCGAGAAUUUGCAGCUUCGAACCUCUACAACGGAAGCAAUCUUUUCAUCCGCUCUGUGUUCCUGUUUCCACCAGAAGUUAAAGGUAAUCUUUUGUAUCCUUAGUUGCUCAUACAUCAUCAGAAUGGACACACAAAAACGUAGAAAAAUUUGGCUACUGGUAUAAUGAACAUGUCUUGAAAUCCUGCGAUGAACAUGUAUCAGUUCCUGGGUCGCUAUUUUUUCGUGUUUGUACAAUAUUGCUGCUGGGUGGGGUGUUAACUGGAAUAGGCUACGGACUGUAGUUUAGUAGUAAAGAUUUUAACUUUGAGAAGGAAAUAACUUUUCCUUGGCUGAUUCAUUCGUUUCUGCAUCUGAAGCCACAUGUCGGAUAGUUGCAGAAAGUUUCCAGCUUUGCACGCUCUUUGUUCUGACUUUUUGGCAUGUGUAGAUCUAGAGUUGGGUUCUGUUUUAACUUGGGUUUUAGGCAAGAAAACAUAGGAAGUCUAUCUUGGUACAUCAUUAGCAAGUUUGGUUGGAGUUCAUGAUAUGGUUAGUUGCUUUGCUUGCUUAAUUCGUGCGAUGCUUGCUGAGAAUGAACUCAGGAGCACAUCAAAGCUUCGUGG